GAUGAACGCUAGCGGCAGGCCUAAUACAUGCAAGUCGAGCGAUAGUGAGAAGCUUGCUUCUCACGAAAGUGGCGCACGGGUGCGUAACGCGUAUGCAACCUACCUUAAUCAGGGGGAUAGCCCGAAGAAAUUCGGAUUAACACCGCAUAAAAUCACAGUAUAGCAUUAUACAAUGAUCAAAUAUUUAUAGGAUUAAGAUGGGCAUGCGUGACAUUAGUUAGUUGGCGGGGGAACGGCCCACCAAGACCACGAUGUCUAGGGGAUCUGAGAGGAUGACCCGCCACGCUGGUACUGAGACACGGACCAGACUCCUACGGGAGGCAGCAGUAAGGAAUGUUGGUCAAUGGAGGCAACUCUGAACCAGCCAUGCCGCGUGCAGGAAGACAGCCCUCUGGGUCGUAAACUGCCUUUACUCGGGAAUAAACCUAUCUACGUGUAGAUAGCUGAAUGUACCGAAGGAAUAAGGAUCGGCUAACUCCGUGCCAGCCGCCGCCGUAA
rnacentral:rRNA from 1 species